rnacentral:pre_miRNA from 1 species
AUCACCUUGGGGAUUUUGUUAAAAUGGAGAUUCUGAUUUGUAGGUCUGGGUGAGCCCCAAGAAUCUGCGUUUCUAACAAGCUCCCAAGUGAUGCUGA